rnacentral:rRNA from 1 species
CCACUCGUGAACUAUACCGUACCCCCCUGUGCAUCGCCCUCUGGGUGGCCUGGGCGGUCGUGCUCUCGGGCCGACCGGGCUCCAAUCCGCUCCGCGGUUGGGGUCGGCUAACUUUUCCACACACCCAAUCAAACCGUCUGUCUGAAGCUGACUCGAGCCGGCAUCGCCGAUCGAUUAACAAAGACAACUCUCAACAACGGAUAUCUUGGCUCUCGCAACGAUGAAGAACGCAGCGAAAUGCGAUACGUAGUGUGAAUUGCAGAAUUCCGUGAAUCAUCGAAUCUUUGAACGCAUAUUGCGGUCGAGGCUUCGGCCAAGACCAUGUCUGCCUCAGCGUCGGUGUGAACCCUCACUCCCCCUCACGGGUGGAGUGGACCUGGCCUCCUCAGACCCCAGCGGCUGGGUUGGCUGAAAUUUGGAGGCUCCCGCUCGGGCCUGUAUGGCAGCAGCAAGGUAGGUAGUUUACUACUCCGGCUGAUGCUUUGGGCACGCGGCAUGAGCCCGCAGGAAAUUCUCACCUUUUCGACCUGAGAUGAGGCAAGGCUACCCGCUGAACUUAAGCAUAUCA